CUAAGACCUACAUCUAUGCUCUGUCCGUAUUCACACCACCUUCAAGACUUCUCUAAGUCUGCGCCGUUCCUAUGGAACUCCCUUCCCUACUCCGUUAGACGCUCACCCAGUCUCAGUCCCUUCAAAAAUAACUGAAAACUCACUUCUACAGGAAAACAUAUCAAUUUAACUGUUAAUAGCUUUCCCUCCCCUCACCGAUUCUUGCCCUGUAACUGAGUCACCCAAUAAAAUAACCUUUCCCCAUCCAUGUAAUACAUCCUACUCUUACCUCCCCUUUAACCCCUUAAGGACACAUGACAUGUCAUGAGUCCCUUUUAUUCCAGAAGUUUGGUCCUUAAGGGGUUAACUAUGCCCCCACCACCUCCCUGAGCUCCAUUACCUGUCAAUCAUUCAUAUAACGUCUGUCACCCCCUCCCAGCUCCAUUACCUGUCAAUCAUUCAUAUAACGGCUGUCACCCCCUCCCCCGGCUCCAUUAACUGUCAAUCAUUCAUAUACCGUCUGUCACCCCCCUCCCUGAGCUCCAUUACCUGUCAAUCAUUCAUAUACCGUCUGUCACCCCUCCCUGAGCUCCAUUACCUGUCAAUCAUUCAUAUACCGUCUGUCACCCCCUCCCUGUGCUCCAUUACCUGUCAAUCAUUCAUAUACCGUCUGUCACCCCC